rnacentral:rRNA from 1 species
GUUUUGAGUUUAUUCUUAAACACUUGUUACAUGGCACCUGAUACUUUAUUACAUUUCUAGUGGCGACGGUGAGUAACACGUUGGAACCUGCCCCAAAGUGAGGAAUAAGCCACCGAAAGGUGGUCUAAUACUUCAUAAUAUCCAUCUCGUAUGGAUUAAAGCUUUAUGCGCUUUGGGAGGGGCCUGCGUAACAUUAGCUUGUUGGUGAGGUAAAAGCUCACCAAGGCUUCGAUGUUUAACUGGUUUGAGAGGAUGACCAGUCACACUGGGACUGAGAUACGGCCCAGACUCCUACGGGAGGCAGCAGUAAGGAAUCUUCCACAAUGGGGCAACCCUGAUGGAGCAAUACCGCGUGCAGGAUGAAGCGUUUCGGCGUGUAAACUGCUUUAUCACCGAAGAUUAUGACUGUAGGUGAAGAAUAAGGACCGGCUAACUACGUG